GCAGAUUCAUUCUGCACCUGGCUGCAGCUCCUGUCUGUACUUUUUUCUGUCUAUUUAGAGAAAUAUUCUGGGGUGCUGUGGCUGCUAUCAGGAACAAUGUAGCUUCCUGGGGACACAGUG